rnacentral:lncRNA from 1 species
GAAUUUUCUGUGUAUUCUUUUCCUUGUAGGAGGUCAUAUUUAUAAUACAAUGAAACCUGAAUGGGCAAGUAAAUAAUAAAUUCCUAAAUCUAUUUAGAGUAGGAAAUCAGGAAUUAAAGUAAAUCAAUUACAAUUAUAAUAGGAAUUCUUGGUGUGUAAGGAAAGUAAGUCAAUAUCCACAAGUCACGCCAACACUCCCCCUCACGUUGGUGCAUAGAUGUCGCCAAUGCCCAACUGAUCCAGUGAAUUGUGGAAUGCUUUACUGAAAAUCAAUCUGGUCCAUGCGUCGGGGUCGUUAGUCGAGAAGUCAUAAUCUGUGCAGCGGAAGAUGCAUAGGAUACAGUUGAGUAGGAGUCAUAAUCUGUGCAGCGGAAGAUGCAUAGGAUACAGUUGAGUAGGAAUUGGGAUCGGGGUCUGAAUCAGAGCCAAAUUCGGGGUUGGGGUCAUCAUCGGAGUGGGGGUCGAUGUCGUCUUCGGAGUCGGAGUCGGGGUCGGGGUCGAGGUCGUCUUCGGAGUCGGGGUCGGGGUCGUCUUCGGAGUCGGGGUCGGGGUCGUCUUCGGAGUCGGGGUCGGGGUCGUCUUCCGAGUCGGGGUCGGGGUCGUCUUCGGAGUCAGGGUCGGGGUCGUUGUCGUCAUAGUCGGAGUCGGGGUCGGGGUCGUCAAAAGAGGAUCCUGAUUCUGGAUUAGGUUCGGGGUAAAAGUCUGCAUCUGUAGGAGCGGAGCCAUCUGGGCACUCAACUCAACGAUGGUUGGUGGAGAAUGAGAGAAUGAGUCGGUGGUGCUACCUCUAUGAGGGUUGAAAAAAUCAUCAACCCCCAUAACACUAAAUAAAAUAAUCUCUAUUACAAUAUGACAAAAUAUAAUUGGUAAGUAACCAAAAUUCUAAUGAAAUAAGGACUCGUCAACACUCCCCCUCAAGUUGGGCAAAGAUAUUUCGCAGGCCCAACUUGACAAGCGAGUCACAGGACACCAUACUUGAGAAACAAAGUUCACAGCGGAAACACAAGAGCAAACCCUAAAAAAUAGGGCACAUAGCAAAACACAGAAAUCCUGUGAGCACGGCUGUAGAUAAGGCAGAACACAGAAACCCUGUGAGCACGGCAGUAGGUAAGGCAGAACACAGAAACUGUGUGAGCACAGCAAUUGGUAAGGCAGAACACAAAAAUCCUGUGAGCACGGCAAUAGGUAAGGCAGAACACCGAAACCCCAUGAGCACGGCAGUAGAGACAAUGGCAACAAUAAAUUCUUCCAUAUAAACUUUAGCUAAUUCACUCAUACACAACUUCUCUUCAAUCCUCCUCUCCCUUUGAAGAGAAGGGGUCGUCGGAGUCAAGAAAUAAGCAACAUCUUCAUGGAAAUAUGUCAAGGUAAUUGGGAUAGGUCAAUAAACAUAUCCCUUUCACUCCCCCUCCCCCCUCUCAAGGGGGGAGAAGAACACUUAAAUUUCAAGAAGAACACAAGCACAGGUCCCUAGAUCGAACCUGGCUCUGAUACCAUGCUAAAAUAUUAAAACUAUGAGAGAAUAUUUGUUUGUGGGAAUUUUCUGUGUAUUCUUUUCCUUGUAGGAGGUCAUAUUUAUAAUACAAUGAAACCUGAAUGGGCAAGUAAAUAAUAAAUUCCUAAAUCUAUUUAGAGUAGGAAAUCAGGAAUUAAAGUAAAUCAAUUACAAUUAUAAUAGGAAUUCUUGGUGUGUAAGGAAAGUAAGUCAAUAUCCACAAGUCACGCCAACAUAGUGCAUGUUCUUUUUUCAUUUUGUUAUUUAUUUAUUUUAAUUUAAAUAAAUUGGGAAUGAACUAUUU